GUAAACCAUGGGUGCUAGGCGUCGUCCUCGUGGCGGUGCCGCAGCUAACGCGGUAAGCGCCCCGCCUGGGGAGUACGGGCGCAAGCCUGAAACUCAAAGGAAUUGGCGGGGGCCCGCACAACCGGUGGAGCGUCUGGUUCAAUUCGAUGCUAACCGAAAAACCUUACCCGGGCUUGACAUGGUGGGAAACCCUUGCGAAAGCGAGGGGUGCCGUCCUCUGGACGGAAUCCCACCACAGGUGGUGCAUGGCCGUCGUCAGCUCGUGUCGUGAGAUGUUGGGUUAAGUCCCGCAACGAGCGCAACCCCUGCCCCUAGUUGCUACCCCGAAUGGGGAGCACUCUAGGGGGACUGCCGGCGAUAAGCCGGAGGAAGGUGGGGAUGACGUCAGGUCAGUAUGCCCUUUAUGCUCGGGGCUACACAGGCGCUACAGUGGCCAGGACAAUGGGAUGCGACCCAGUAAUGGGGAGCAAAUCCCCCAAACCUGGUCAUGGUGCGGAUUGAGGGCUGAAACUCGCCCUCAUGAAGCCGGAAUCGGUAGUAAUGGCGGAUCAGCUAAGCCGCCGUGAAUACGUUCUCGGGCCUUGCACACACCGCCCGUCACGCCACGGAAGUCAGUCUUCCCGGAAGGCCCCAAGC
rnacentral:rRNA from 1 species